rnacentral:lncRNA from 1 species
GUUACUUGUUUGCUCAGCAAGUCGGACAAACCUUGCAAACUGUUAACCCGAAUAAUUCAGUCGUUAUAUUCCGCUUACUACAUUAAGUAAGUAGGAGAGAUCGAUUACGGGGAGGGACUGAAUUAUUCGGGUUAGCAAACUAUGCAAAAUUUCACAAAUUUCAACAUUCGCUCAUUUGUGAAAAAUUAUUUACAUAACAAAUCUUG